AUCCAAGCCCCACGGAGGACAUCCCACCACAGGUCAUUAGAGCCAUGUGAGACAAGUCCUACAGGAUGACCUCACAAGAACCAAAGAUUUCAGACCAAAGGGACCAGUGAUGGGGAAACCAGUGUCUGAUUUAGCCGUGGGUCCACAGUUAGGAGACUCAACUCUCAGAGGCUGAGGAGUCAAUGCUAACAAUGGAUCUGACAUGGUAGCCCCAAAGGUUUGACAUGCCUCUUCCUCACUUAUUGAUCUCCUUGGCCCAACUUAACAUUCUCCAAAGAGGAGCCUUUGCCCCUACAUGUCCUCCUCCCGAUGUCUCAAGCUCCUGGUUUAAUUAAAUGAGCUGUCUUAAGGCAUCGCCUUCGGGUGUGGCCAGUUACCUGCUGGAUGGACCCAAGAGACUUUUUGGCAUUUCCGGGCUUGAUUUGCCGUGAGAGUCCACAUUUAACAUCAAUGGCUCCUUUGGAAAUCUUCCCUUUCAAGGUCUCACUGCCCAGAAUUAGAUCCCGGAGAAUGAGGUUAUGCGUCUUUUCGGGUUCUUUCGAAUGACUGUCAACUAUGUGUUCUCAAGAUGGCAGUUAUCUACAGCUCCAUCCUCAUCGUCCUUGUGAGGUUGAAAUUAAAAAGAGUUCGUUCAGCCACCUGCACUUAAACCACUGCCUGCUUUGGUCACAUCCAUUCCGUUCAGAGACACAGUGACUAAUGCUAAUAGUGGGGAAGGGAUGGAGUCAGUGGAAGAGGCGAAUGCUGGGAAAGGUCACAAUAAUCUGCAAAUUCCCCAGGUUUGGCGGUCAGAGUGACUUCAGGAAGACCACAGGACAAGUUGCUGGAGUUAGUACUCAGCCUCAAAGUGAGCGAAGCACUCCAAAGGAGUAUUUAGAUGUCAGGGGUGGAAGUAAAUUCCUCAAGGAGCUGAUGAUGUACUGACAUGUUUUGUGGUUGCUGUUGAACAUGAUGCUCUUUACAGUCAUGUGAAAAUCAUGCAUCAGGUGCUGGUCAGCUGGGGCUGAAGAGCCGUCUGUGACUGAGAAAUGUGAGGUGAAAUCUUUUGAGAAGUAUUUCCUCAGCAUCAGACUGUGGGAGCUGGGUUCAGAGGUGGCCAAGGUUUUUACCUCGUGCUGGUGGCCAAACCCGGUCAUGUGCAAGAGCCUCCCAGGUGGUCCUGGUUUUGAAGACAUGAAGGGGUCAUAGAGGGCAGCUGAGGCUUGAUUCCAUGAGAGGCCACUGGUGAAGGUACAGAUGGAGUAGCAG
rnacentral:lncRNA from 1 species